UCCGUAGGGGGCAAGCGUUGUCCGGAAUCAUUGGGCGUAAAGAGCGUGUAGGCGGCCCGAUAAGUCCGCCGUGAAAGUCCAGGGCUCAACCCUGGAAUGCCGGUGGAAACUGUCGGGCUGGAGUCCGGAAGAGGCGAGUGGAAUUCCUGGUGUAGCGGUGAAAUGCGCAGAUAUCAGGAGGAACACCAAUGGCGAAGGCAGCUCGCUGGAACGGUACUGACGCUGAGGCGCGAAAGCGUGGGGAGCAAACAGG
rnacentral:rRNA from 1 species